rnacentral:rRNA from 1 species
UACAGAGGGUGCGAGCGUUAAUCGGAAUUACUGGGCGUAAAGCGCACGUAGGUGGCUUGGCAAGUCGGGUGUGAAAUCCCCGGGCUCAACCUGGGAACUGCAUUCGAGACUGCCUUGCUAGAGUAUGGGAGAGGGAAGUGGAAUUUCCGGUGUAGCGGUGAAAUGCGUAGAUAUCGGGAGGAACACCCGUAGCGAAGGCGGCACUCUGGGCCGUGACUGACGCUGAGGAGCGAAAGCGUGGGGAGCAAACAGG